GAGUUUGAUCCUGGCUCAGAACGAACGCUGGCGGCAGGCUUAACACAUGCAAGUCGAGCGCCCCGCAAGGGGGAGCGGCAGACGGGUGAGUAACGCGUGGGAACGUACCCUUUGCUACGGAAUAACUCCGGGAAACUGGAACUAAUACCGUAUGUGCCCUUCGGGGGAAAGAUUUAUCGGCAAAGGAUCGGCCCGCGUUGGAUUAGCUAGUUGGUGGGGUAAAGGCCUACCAAGGCGACGAUCCAUAGCUGGUCUGAGAGGAUGAUCAGCCACAUUGGGACUGAGACACGGCCCAAACUCCUACGGGAGGCAGCAGUGGGGAAUAUUGGACAAUGGGCGCAAGCCUGAUCCAGCCAUGCCGCGUGAGUGAUGAAGGCCCUAGGGUUGUAAAGCUCUUUCACCGAUGAAGAUAAUGACGGUAGUCGGAGAAGAAGCCCCGGCUAACUUCGUGCCAGCCGCCGCCGU
rnacentral:rRNA from 1 species